rnacentral:misc_RNA from 1 species
CGCACAUUGCGCCCUCUGGUAUUCCGGGGGGCAUGCCUGUUCGAGCGUCAUUACAACCCUCAAGCUCUGCUUGGUAUUGGGUGCUACCGACAGCGGUACGCCUCAAAAUCAGUGGCGGCGCCAUCCGGCUUCAAGCGUAGUAAUACUCCUCGCUUCUGGAGCUCGGGUGUGCUCUUGCCAGCAACCUCAAUUUAUCAAAGGUUGACCUCGGAUCAGGUAGGGAUACCCGCUGAACUUAA